UAUAUAUGUCUGCAGUGACCCUGUAUGAGCAUAUAUCUGAAGUUCACAGUCUGACCUCAAGUAAAUACUUAUUUAACGGAUGCUGGGAAAAGUCGCUGUAAUGAGGAUUCUCAAAGCAUAACAGAAAAAUGUGAUGAUAAAAAUUAUUCCAGUGAAUAUUAGAAGUGGAUAGAAGAUAGAAAGAGCUGUACCAGUAUUUAUAUCUUGGAAAAGGCCAGAAGAUUACGAAUAAUUUUGCUUUCCAAAAUUUCUGCAAUCAUCCAGCACAACACAAGGUGACUUUUGAAUCACUGUACUUGUAAGUCUUCAAUUGGAAGAGCAGGAUAAUUAAAACAUUUUCAAGUAUUACUCAAAAUUUACUUGAACAUAAUUUAAACUAAGACGAAGAAAGAUUGCAGUGGAACUCUUCAUUACCAUGGGAAAGUUAUGUUCAGCAUGAGAAUCACUGUAGAAUGGUCUGAUAAAAUAAGCUAUGAUGCUACUCUUCCUUUUACUUCCUCUCUUUUCAGUGAAGUGAAAAGCCAUCCCAGUACUUUAAAAAUGUGUUAGCUGCCUGGAAUCAGAGAAAUGAUUGAGACCCAGAAGCUUUUCUUAUUUUGUUUCCCGCUAAAUUCCAACCUUGUACAUCAGCAAAGGUAAUUAACCUAAUACUAACUAUUCUGUGUAUUCUUAUUGUGAUCCUGACAGACCUAAUUUAGUACUGACAGCGCUAGAAGGAUUCCCUAUUUAACUUGUUGUCCCAUUCUCCUGAUAGCUCAUUAGUGAGCCCUGGCUUUGCUUAAUGCCUGAAACACAAAGUGUAAAUUGGUGUGCAUAAAUCAUUCACUACCUUCAAGGGACAGAAUCUUUUGGCACAUUCUUGGCUUAUAUUUCCUUGAUUUUCUGUUCAGUGGAUUUAGAGACCAAUUUUGGAUUUUCCCUACAGGCAGACUCUGUGUCUACUCUGGUAUAACAGUGAAUUUAUGUUAAAUAAAGCCAUAUUACUAAGCAAAGUGUUUAACUGUCGUCUGUCACGAAAUAGAAUUGCAUCUGUGGGAUUCAAAAGCAACUGGAACAGCCUCUUCACUGAUGUGGUGACUGCAACAAAUAGUAAUGAUGAAGACUUUUCCAAAUGGAACAUCUUAUUUUCUUUAGGAUAUUAUCAGACACUCGGAAAA